UUCUUAAAUAGCACUGUUUAUCCAGUAAAUAGGUUAUUAAGGUUUUAAUUGAGGUGUUUAAUUAUUACCUUUUAGACCAAAAAAGGAGUGGGAGUCAAACAACAGGUGAACAAAAGUCUUAUUUAUUGUUAUUGAUUUUCACCGUACACAACUACAAUGUGAAGAAGUUGAAAAUAUAAAUACCAUACCAAACAGUGCUCAAUGCCCCGCUCAACAAAAAAGUAUCGAAAAGGGGUCAAGAGGGACUAAAACAAAACAAAACUUCACCGAGCAUGAUGCUAGUACAAGCAAGGAUGAUGGGGAAAUUUCUAACUCUGUUACAUCGCCAAAGUUUCAAAGAAUUGGUAGCUAAAAAAGUUUAAAAGUGGUGACAAACAAACAACAGGAAUAGCCAAGGUAAUAGCAAUGUGUGACAACGAUGAGAACAAUAUUAUAUUCGAUAAUAUAUGGUAGACGAGAUCCCAUACAAUACAAUAAAAAUUAUGGACCAUAUUUCAUUGAUCCUGAGGAAACUAGACGAGAUGAAUGUGAAAAACGAUGAAUUUCAACGAAGGGUGUUUCGACAGCAAUUUAUAAUAGUUACAAAGUAAAUUAACUGAUUUGGAAUCUCAGUUAGUCACCCUGUCCACGGCAAAUGUAAAUUCAAAAGAAACCUCCAACGACUUUGUUACGAAUUACAGUUUCGACGGGGCAAAGGGUAAACUUAAAUUUAAACCUUUGAAGCUGUAUGAAUUAUUAUUAGGUAAGGUUUGGUAAUAUUACAAAUUGAUCAGCUCAUCCCAGUCAACAUGUAACUCUCAGGUAUAGCUGAAAGAGCUCUACUAAGUAACAUUGAUAUGUUACAGUUGUAACUGAAAUUAUAUGUAGGUAACAUAGAGGUUGGAACGUUCCAUACCAAACACGUAAUAAUUACUUACAUAACUGAAAGGGCUCCAGAACUUAACAAAGUUAUGUUACAAUUGUAACCGAAAUGAUAUGUAACACAGAAGUUGGAAUGUUCUAUACCAAACACGUAAUAAUCACUUACGUACCUGAAAGGACUCUAGAAGGUAACAAAGUUAUGUUGUUACAAUAACAUACUACCCAUGAAUGUGCUUCAAUUAGUAACGUGGCAAAUUCCACACUUUCGUGUUCGUUAGAGGCAAUUAAUGUUGAAAAAUUGUCAAGUUCCGAAUUGAUAAAUAAUAUUUAAAGUAAGCAACAAUUAUUUUUUACACCAUGAAAACUGUUUUGGUGGGAACGCAGUUUGUCUUAUAGAACUUUCUUUUAGAUGCCGUUCGGCAAACUUUCCCCGACACUAGCGAAAGUGCCAUUGAAUUGGCGGUGGGUGAGUGGUUACGCUUAAGCAAGCUGAGACAGUCAAGAGAAAAACCUCUCCAAAAUCAAUAAUUUUAUUAUAUAUUAUUAAUGAAUAUUGGAAAUGUAUCU